rnacentral:rRNA from 1 species
UACGGAGGAGGCAAGCGUUAUCCGGAAUUAUUGGGCGUAAAGCGUCCGCAGGCGGCACUUCAAGUCUGUCGUCAAAGACUGGGGCUUAACCCUGGAAAGGCGGUGGAGACUGAAGCGCUAGAGUGCGGUAGGGGUAGAGGGAAUUCCCGGUGUAGCGGUGAAAUGCGUAGAGAUCGGGAAGAACAUCGGUGGCGAAAGCGCUCUACUGGACCGCAACUGACACUCAGGGACGAAAGCUAGGGGAGCGAAUGGG